GACGAACGCUGGCGGCGUGCCUAACACAUGCAAGUCGAACGGAAAGGCCCUGCUUUUGUGGGGUGCUCGAGUGGCGAACGGGUGAGUAACACGUGAGUAACCUGCCCUUGACUUUGGGAUAACUUCAGGAAACUGGGGCUAAUACCGGAUAGGAGCUCCUGCUGCAUGGUGGGGGUUGGAAAGAUUCGGCGGUUGGGGAUGGACUCGCGGCUUAUCAGCUUGUUGGUGGGGUAGUGGCUUACCAAGGCUUUGACGGGUAGCCGGCCUGCGAGGGUGACCGGCCACAUUGGGACUGAGAUACGGCCCAGACUCCUACGGGAGGCAGCAGUGGGGAAUAUUGCACAAUGGGCGGAAGCCUGAUGCAGCAACGCCGCGUGCGGGAUGACGGCCUUCGGGUUGUAAACCGCUUUCGCCUGUGACGAAGCGUGAGUGACGGUAAUGGGUAAAGAAGCACCGGCUAACUACGUG
rnacentral:rRNA from 1 species